rnacentral:misc_RNA from 1 species
GUUGGAGCAGGGAGGCCUACGGUGCCUCGUCCAACGCUAGCUGUUGACAAGCAGCACGUUCUCCUCCACCGCCACGAUCAGCUCCUCCUUGUCCUCCUCGAUUGAGGAAUAUCCCUUCGGAGCCAAAUAUUCUGGGUUAUUUAUUUGUAUAAUUUUCUUGAACAAAAAUGAGUUCACAAUCUCGAGAAGAAGAUUCCAGAGAAGACGACAAAAAGGAAGAGUCAAGCCGCCUAUUAUCGACGCCAGCCCAAUCUCCGAUACCGUCUUCGGACGGCGAGGACCCCGACGAAGUUGCUUUCGAAGCGCGAGAGAAAGUCCUGAUCGUUGAUGUGCAUGGCCAGGAUGCAAUCGACGCCGACGAUUGUGUCCCGCCAUUUUCGUGGAAAAAACUGUGGUUGUUUACGGGACCUGGAUUUUUGAUGAGCAUUGCGUUUUUAGAUCCAGGGAAUCUAGAGGGGGAUCUCCAGGCAGGAGCGGUUGCCGGAUACCCGGCGGUCUCGCUGGUCAAAGGAGUGACCCACGAUUGCCUUCCCUGNUGGGCUUGCUGAUCCAGAUGCUAUCGGCCCGCGUCGGAGUGGCCACGGGACGGCACUUAGCGGAGUUGUGUAGAGAGGAGUACCCAAAUUGGGCAAGGUUGAUUUUGUGGUUCAUGGCGGAGGUGGCGCUUAUUGGGGCUGAUAUACAGGAGGUGAUAGGGAGCGCUAUUGCUAUACAUAUAUUGAGUAAUGGGGUUUUGCCGCUCUGGGCGGGAGUAGUGAUUACAGCUUUGGAUUGUUUUAUGUUUUUAUUUCUAGAGAAUUAUGGAGUGAGGAAGUUAGAAGCUGUUUUUGCAGUCCUAAUUGCAACUAUGGCUUUAUCAUUUGCCUGGAUGUUUGGUGACACCAAGCCUAGUGGAAAAGAACUUUUAACGGGUAUUUUAAUUCCAAGACUUAGUUCAAAAACAAUUCGUCAAGCUGUGGGGGUUGUGGGUUGUGUUAUAAUGCCGCACAAUGUGUUCUUGCAUUCAGCUUUGGUGCAAUCAAGGAAGAUUGAUCCUCAGAAGAAAGGUCAAGUUCAGGAGGCUCUGAAUUACUACUUAAUUGAGUCAUCAGUUGCUCUUCUAGUCUCCUUCAUGAUUAACUUGUUUGUGACAACUGUGUUUGCCAAGGGAUUCUAUGGCACUGAACAGGCCAAUAGCAUAGGACUAGUCAAUGCAGGGCAGUAUCUUCAAGAGAAAUAUGGAGGAGGAAUUUUUCCAAUUCUUUAUAUCUGGGGUAUUGGCUUGUUGGCAGCUGGACAAAGUAGUACAAUAACUGGCACAUAUGCAGGGCAAUUUAUUAUGGGAGGCUUUCUUAACCUUCGCUUGAAGAAAUGGCUGAGGGCAUUGAUAACACGAAGUUUUGCUAUUGUGCCAACUAUGAUAGUAGCUCUUGUGUUCAAUACAUCUGAAGCCUCAUUGGAUAUUUUGAAUGAAUGGCUAAAUGUGCUUCAGUCCAUACAGAUCCCUUUUGCACUUAUCCCCCUUCUUACUUUGGUGGCCAAGGAGCAGGUCAUGGGGAUCUUUAGAAUUGGGCCUGUUCUUGAGAGGCUGGCAUGGACAGUAGCUAUCCUGGUUAUACUGAUUAAUGGGUAUCUGUUGCUUGAUUUCUUCGCAUCUGAAGUUAAGGGGCUGCUGUUUGGUUUUCUGGCCUGCACUGGCACAGUUGCAUAUAUAGCAUUUAUUAUCUAUCUUGUUUCACGUGUUGGUGCUCUGUCGUCUCCUGGGCCCGGCUUAGAACUGUCCAAGAGGGAUGCUUACCCUGGAAAUUAAGUUUGUUCAAUUUCAAAAUAUUGGAAUCACUACCACCUGGGCCGUAUAACAACAGUUGUUGAAAGAGUCUCAACAGUAGAACAUUUUUUCACUGUCAAUCCCUAACCUCAGCGCAUACAUAAAGUGAGUGUACAAUUUGACUAUUUUCUGCAUGAUGGAGCUCUAUGGUCAUGUUUUAUCAUCAAUCGUGUGUGAGGAUACAUUUUCCUUUGUUUGGUGGGUGGAUGAAGCAUCACUGUAGCAAAAUGGUAAAUUACUUCCAUUGCAGUAGAUGCAUACAAGCCUGGUUAAUCAAACUUAGGAUGAGUUUAUUAGUUGUUCUUUGUUGCAACAGUUUAUCAUGUAACAUAGUCAAAAUGUCAUUGA